GACAGAGGGUGCAAACGUUGUUCGGAAUUACUGGGCGUAAAGCGCGUGUAGGCGGUUGUCCAAGUUGGAUGUGAAAGCCUUGAGCUUAACUCAAGAAAUGCAUUCAGGACUGGAUGACUAGAGGACCGGAGAGGAUAGUGGAAUUCCCAGUGUAGUGGUGAAAUACGUAGAGAUUGGGAAGAACACCAGUGGCGAAGGCGGCUAUCUGGACGGUUUCUGACGCUAAGACGCGAAAGCGUGGGGAGCAAACAGG
rnacentral:rRNA from 1 species